rnacentral:rRNA from 1 species
GUAGUCCACGCCGUAAACUAUGGAUGCUAGCUGUAUGAGGUAUCGACCCCUCAUGUAGCGAAGCUAACGCGUUAAGCAUCCCGCCUGUGGAGUACGGUCGCAAGACUAAAACAUAAAGGAAUUGACGGGGACCCGCACAAGCGGUGGAGCGUGUUGUUUAAUUCGAUGGUAAGCGAAGAACCUUACCCAGGCUUGACAUCCUUGGAAGCACUGCGAAAGCAGAGUGUGCCUUCGGGAACCAAGUGACAGGUGUUGCAUGGCCGUCGUCAGCUCGUGUCGUGAGAUGUUUGGUUAAGUCCAUCAACGAGCGCAACCCUUUUAGUUAGUUGAAUUUCUCUAGCUAGACUGCCCUGGUAACAGGGA